AAGAGCAUAGCUCAGGGGUAGAGCAUUUGACUGCAGAUCAAGAGGUCCCUGGUUCAAAUCCGGAUGCCCCCUUG